rnacentral:pre_miRNA from 1 species
UUUAUACUUCCUUCGUCCCAAAUUAGUUGACUUAGAUUUGCCGAGAUAUGGAUACGGUGUAUCUAGACACGUUUUAGUGUUAUAUACAUCCAUAUCUAGACAAAUCCAAAACAACUAAUUUGGGACAGAGGUAAUAUCUU